rnacentral:rRNA from 1 species
AAUCUUGCACAAUGGGGGCAACCCUGAUGCAGCGACGCCGCGUGAGUGAUGAAGCCCUUCGGGGUGUAAAGCUCUUUCGGCAGGGACGAUAAUGACGGUACCUGAAGAAGAAGCUGCGGCUAACUACGUGCCAGCAGCCGCGGUAAUACGUAGGCAGCGAGCGUUGUUCGGAGUUACUGGGCGUAAAGCGUGCGUAGGCGGUGUUCCAAGUCUGGUGUGAAAUCUCCCGGCUUAACUGGGAGGGUGCGCCGGAAACUGGGAUGCUGGAGUGUGGGAGAGGCAAGCGGAAUUCCUGGUGUAGCGGUGAAAUGCGUAGAUAUCAGGAGGAACACCUGCGGUGUAGACGGCUUGCUGGACCAUAACUGACGCUGAGGCACGAAAGCGUGGGGAGCAAAC